CAGCAGCCGCGGUAAUACGUAGGUGGCAAGCGUUGUCCGGAAUGAUUGGGCGUAAAGCGUCUGUAGGUGGCUCUUCAAGUCCGCCGUCAAAUCCCAGGGCUCAACCCUGGACAGGUGGUGGAAACUACCAAGUUGGAGUACGGUAGGGGCAGAGGGAAUUUCUGGUGUAGCGGUGAAAUGCGUAGAUAUCGGAAGGAACACCUGUGGCGAAAGCGGCUCACUGGACCAUUUCUGACGCUGAUGCACGAAAGCUAGGGGAGCAAACAGGAUUAGAUACCCCAGUAGUCCCUGUCUCUUAUAC
rnacentral:rRNA from 1 species